UCACCAUAUCAAGCUUGGCUUGUUGUUGGGCCCUUCUGUCACCUGGUGACAGGUCCAAAAGACAAUAACCGGUGUCAUACAGACUCUAUAUGCAACGAGCUUAUAACAGCACGCAUCUGGUAGUCGUGUGGCCCGGUAUCACCUUAAUAAAUAUAUUUCUCAA
rnacentral:misc_RNA from 1 species